GAAUGACGUCACGUGGGCUAGUCUCUUCUUCCAAAGUAGAAGAUGAAACAUUUGAUUUUUCAGUCUGGUUUUAUUGCUACACAAGUUAAUGUUGGAACCCCCAGGAUCGCGUUAUUUGAUUGGUUUGUUGAAGUCACGUAGUGGACGGUUGAGAUCAGAUAUGAAGGCCGGCACCAGAAAGCAGUCAAUCGUGCGUGUUUAAAAGGACCUUCGUAGAUACUGGACAUAGCCGUAUGAUACUAUAAUAGAAGGUUCUUGCAAAUGGAUGAGUAAUGAAAAACAAAACACUGUCAACCGUCUAUCAUGGGGCCAUUGAAAUACUACACGAGUGACGUUUUCUAUUGAAAUCCAGUCGAGGUGGGAGUAAAUGUACAUUUCUUUUCCCCACAGAAACAAUUAUGGUAGCUCGUGUUUUAUCAGUCAUGAAACACUAGAUGACAAUUGUAUAUAGUACAAUACAAAUGGUGAGAUUGCUUGAAAUAAACCAAUAUAUGAACCAAA